rnacentral:rRNA from 1 species
GUCCUACCAACAGAACAAACCCCCGGGGUAAAAUGGGCCCAGGAAUCUUAAAUGAAAAAAAAAAGGAACCCGCACCCUAACGUGGCGGGAACGGAAUUCCCAAGGGCGGGUGGUUUCCUUGGUUAAAAACUAAAUGACUCUCCGCAACGGAUAUCUUGGCUCUCGCCUCCAUGAAAAACGUAACGAAAUGGGAUACUUGGUGGGGAUUGGAGAAUCCCGUGGACCAUCCAGUUUUUGAACGCCAGUUGCGCCCAAAGCCUUCCGGGCCAGGGCACGUCUGGCUGGGUGGCAUGGAUCGGUGCCCCCUCCAACUUCCUCUGGGGGGAAAAUGGACUAAGGGCGGAAAUUGGUCUCCCGUGGGGUCCCGCUCGUGGUUGGCCGAAAAUCCAGUCGUUGGGGAUAGUGGCACG